UUCUGGUACACUAUCGUACCCGACUAGUAUCGGAAUGGAUAUCGAGAGUGAGUCGGUGAAUUUGGCCGAAAGCUUACAUCAACCACUGAACUACUACAGUAAUCGCAAAUCCAGAAUACAAAAUACGGCGCAAACAUCAAGUGCGUACACUGCGAUUUCAACACUCAGCAUUUAAUACAAUUUCAACCCUACAACCAUGACCACAUCACCCGAAUAUCGUCGUAAGCUGUUUGCUGUUUGAAGCAAUAAAAUGCUAUUGAACAUCAAAAUCCUGUUGAGCAGCUAACAGAAAUUAAGAGAAUCGAGCAAAAUGGUUUAGGAACGACGGCAACGCAACCAAUACAUCUUUAAAAAUACAUCUUUGCAAAACAAAAUUACCACUACUAUUCGAAACGUGCGAACAUGCUUCGAUUCAUACGAAAAAUCACCAACCUUAUUAUUUUCGAGACACGAAAACGUUAAAAAGCAAGUCUCGGUACAGGAGCAGACUAAGAUGGUCUCUGCGAAUUCUACCAUGCAGAAAAACGGCGGGCGAGAAUGGCGCGAAGAACUUAUUGCCCCACACGGCGCUUCCGGACCGACUAUCACGAUUAGCUUUAGUAUCUCGGAUGGAGAUAUGGAAAACAUCCACACAGAUGUCCUCUUAAUCUAGGUCAUCCCCAGCCAGGAUAAUGCCACUUGCAGUAUCACGUACAGCAUUACGUUGGCUGAUCAAGGGCAGCAGAGACAUACGUACGUUUAGCAGCAGUAUCAGAAUCGGAUUAAGCAGCAAUAGACUGCGGUCAGUCCUGACAUGUCGGCGCUCGGCCACGGCGGAGAGUCACCGUGCACAAUAGUUGGCAAAUGAGCCUAAAUCAAUCCAAAUCAUAAAAAUUACUGAAACGAAAACCUUGAAAAGUGAG